rnacentral:rRNA from 1 species
CAGUCGCCGCGGUAAAACGGAGGGGGCUAGCGUUGUUCGGAAUUACUGGGCGUAAAGCGUACGUAGGCGGCUUUGUAAGUUAGAGGUGAAAGCCCGGAGCUCAACUCCGGAAUUGCCUUUAAGACUGCCGAGCUAGCAGGUGAGAGAGGUAAGUGGAAUUCCGAGUGUAGAGGUGAAAUUCGUAGAUAUUCGGAAGAACACCAGUGGCGAAGGCGGCUUACUGGCUCAUACUGGACGCUGAGGUGCGAAAGCGUGGGGAGCAAACAGGAUUAGAUACCCGUGUAGUCCCUGUCUCUUAUAU